rnacentral:rRNA from 2 species
CUUACCACUUUGUGGUUCAUGACUGGGGUGAAGUCGUAACAAGGUAGCGCUAGGGGAACCUGGCGCUGGAUCACCUCCUUAAACGAUGAU